AUUCAACUUUGUCAUGAUUAAUUUAUAGUUUAGACUAAGCUUUAGCAUGGUGAUUUGUGUGUAUCAGGUAAGCCUAGAUUUAAUCUACCUGAACAAACCCAGCAAGAAACCUUAAACAAUAUUAGAAAUAAUAAUUUAAUUAGCGUCUAUAGGUUUGACUAACUAGGUGCCAGCAGUCGCGGUCAUACCUGGAAACCAAGCUAUAAACCUUAGGCUGGCUUUUUACACUAACUUUCAUAAUUAGGUAAAAUUUUUAUGAUUUUUAAGACUAAGAAAAUAAUAGGCCCAAACUCUAGCAAUAAACCAGGAUUAGAUACCCUGCUAUACAGAGCCAAAAUUGAAAGCUUAAGCACUAAGACUUUACAGUUAAAACUUAAAUGACAUGGCGGCAGCUUCAAAUUUCAAGGGAACUUACCAGAUAAAUGAUAAUCCGCAAAAUACCCUACUCCCCCUAACUAGUUUGUAUAUCACCGUCUUCAGAGCCCGUCUGAGAUGAGCUCAAAAUGCUUUAAACCAAGCAAAAAGACAGGUCAACAUGCAACCCAUGGGGGAGCCAUUAAGGUGAGUUACAAUGAUUUUAAUCUUGGAAUUUUUUUGAAAACUAAAAAGAAAACCGGACUUGAAAGUAAAAACUAUUUAGAAAUAUGGUUUGAAUUUUCAAAAAGCUGUGCACAAAUCGCCCGUCACUCUCGUUGGAAAAGGAGAUAAGUCGUAACACAGUAAGCGUACCGGAAGGUGCGCUU
rnacentral:rRNA from 1 species